GAAAUGCGAUAAGUAGUGUGAAUUGCAGAAUUCAGUGAAUCAUCGAAUCUUUGAACGCACAUUGCGCCCUUUGGUAUUCCUUAGGGCAUGCCUGUUCGAGCGUCAUCUAAACCUUCAAGCCCUGCUUGGUGUUGGGUGCCUGUCCCGCCUCCGCGCGCGGACUCACCUCAAAUCCAUUGGCGGCCCCCGCGUCGGCCACGAGCGCAGCAGAAACGCGAACUCGUGAGCCCGUACGGGCGGCUCCCAGAAGCUACACCCACCCAGUUUGACCUCGGAUCAGGUAGGGAUACCCGCUGAACUUAAGC
rnacentral:misc_RNA from 1 species